UUAUUUUACAUAAUAUAUCUUUCAACUAAGUACUUGUUUUUAACUUAUCAUGAUGAGAUAUUCUGCUGCUUGACAAGCUUCUCUUGACAUGAAUGGUGUUCACCUAUCUCCUACAGUAGAAACUUCGUUCCUUAAACCUUUCUUCAUUCCUAACUUGUUGUAUUUCUGCCUUUUUGCAGCUCGAAAGGUUCGACUCUAUAUCAUAUUCAUGGGAGGAAUUACUUUAAAUGCAGGUUCAACGUGUAAAUUCAGAAAAUCUUUCGGAGAUGGGAUGAAAGAAUGGUUACUUGUCACUUUUUCAAACAAUCAAACUGAUGUUUUCAUUUUAUAUUUUUUUCACUUCCGAUGUAAUUUUAACUAAAAUGGGUCAAAUGGAAUUAAGUUAAUAAAUAAUGUUAAAAGUUAAAACGUGACACAUGAAAUAGCACUUGCUCCUGUCACCAUUGAUAUGUGGCCAAAAUGGAGCACCCCCAUGAUGUAGGGCACAAUCUUCUUCUGUCUUCCUCUGAUUUUGGUUAUACGUGAUCUCCCGGUAGUACCCAAGCUGCUAUGUGGUAGGCUAUUCUACUUAACUUUAUGUGAAGUCCACUAAGACUCAAUUGUAGCAGGUCUUGCUGUGGGAGAAAUUGCUGGCAUAUCUGUUGCUGUAAUUAUUGUUGCACUCUUUUUGGCUGCUUUUCUUUGGAUUGCUUUUGCUAAAAGAAGGAAGCAGAAGGAUGGACAGUUGAUUCCCUCUGAUUCUGGCAUUGAGAUCUCCAAGCAAACAUUUGGAUCUUUAAACCGAUCAGAUGAAUUUGGUGUAUCAUUGGGGCCUUCAGGAAUUACUGUGGACAAGUCUGUAGAAUUUACUUAUGAAGAGCUUGCAGAGGCUACAAAUGACUUCUCCAUGGCUAAUAAAAUAGGACAAGGAGGAUUUGGAGCUGUUUACUAUGCUGAAUUAAGAGGAGAGCAAGCUGCAGUCAAGAGGAUGGAAAUGGAAUCAAGUUCAUCUACAGAAUCAUUUCUUGCUGAAUUGAAGGUUUUGACUCGUGUUCAUCAUGUCAACCUGGUACAUACAGUCUCCUAUCAUAU